UACGUAGGGGGCAAGCGUUGUCCGGAAUCAUUGGGCGUAAAGAGCGUGUAGGCGGCCCGAUAAGUCGGUUGUGAAAGUCAAGGGCUCAACCCUUGAAAGCCGACCGAUACUGUCGGGCUAGAGUCCGGAAGAGGCGAGUGGAAUUCCUGGUGUAGCGGUGAAAUGCGCAGAUAUCAGGAGGAACACCGAUGGCGAAGGCAGCUCGCUGGGACGGUACUGACGCUGAGACGCGAAAGCGUGGGGAGCAAACAGG
rnacentral:rRNA from 1 species